rnacentral:misc_RNA from 1 species
AACGCACAUUGCGCCCUUUGGCAUUCCGAAGGGCAUGCCCGUUCGAGCGUCAUUACACCACUCAAGCCUGGCUUGGUAUUGGACGACGGGAUCUCCCCGCGCCUCUAUGUCCCCUCGGCUGGACGGUUGGAAGACUCAGCGUUGUGAAUCAAUCCGCUCAGCAUUUCCGCCGGACGCGCCGUCGAAACUUCAAUCACAGGUUGACCUCGGAUCGGGUAGGGAUACCCGCUGAACUUAA